CCUCCCUCCUGAGGAUAAAGAGGCCCAGAGGCCCAGCCAGCCUUGGGCUCAGAGGCAGAGCUCAGGGCACCUCCACCAUGGCCUGGACCCCUCUCCUGCUCCCCCUCCUCUCUCUCUGCACAGGUUAUGUGGCCUCUUCUCAGCUGACUCAGCCCCCGGGGGUGUCUGUGUCCUUGGGAGGGACGGCCAGCAUCACCUGCCAAGGAGGCAACUUUGGAAGUUAUUAUGCUCACUGGUACAAGCAGAAGCCUGGCCAGUCCCCCAUGCUGGUCAUUUAUGAAUACAACAAGAGAGCCUCAGGGAUCCCGGACCGGUUCUCUGGGUCCAAGUCGGGGAACACCGCCACCCUGACCAUCAGCGGGGCCCAGGCUGAGGACGAGGCCGACUACUACUGUCAGUCAUCCGAUGAUAGUUAUACUCCUCACAGUGACACAGGCGGAGGGGGACGUGGGACACAAACCCCUCCUCAACUGGGGCACCUUCCCCUCCAGCACCAGGAGGCCUGUGGGCAAAGCAAGAACAGGUGCCUCCUGGGUUCCACAGAUCUGAGCUCCCCCAUCUUCCCCUCGCCCAGCCCCCAGGCAGGCUCUGCACAGGGCGUUCAGGAGGGGAUUUAGGGCUGGGAGUUUCAGGCACAGGGUGUUGUGUGACCCUGGGAGUGACUUGGGGAAAGAAGGACUGAAUGAAAGGACAGAGGGAGGGGGACAGAGACCAAGGGGCCUUCAUUGUUGGAUCCAAACCAGAGUGAUGGGCCACCUCUUGGCCCCCAUGUCCUGUGUGGGCCCCAGACCUGCAGGGGGAAGCUGGCUCUCUGAAGCCUGGGGAUCCAAAGCGGCCAGGGUUUCUGCAGGGAGCACCUUAGUGCAGUGGGCGCUGUGGUGUCUGCCUGGGUCCCUCUCAAGGCCAACA